AAAGGUGUAAUUUUCAAAGAAGAAGGAAUGAGAAGAGAGGCAAGGAAAAUAUCUCUUAUAGCCCUGAGACCAACUUGGCUCAACUUCAGAGGUACUUUGCAGAUUGAGAAACACUUGGAUGUAUAAAGUAUAAAAGCAUGAGGUCUGGAGGUAAUGGCAAUUACAUUUCUUUCAUUCAUCAAAAACAACUUUAAAGCAAUUCAUUUGGAUUUUACCAUAGAAUGGUACCAUAGUUCUAUAGUAAAAUAAAAUGCUAACACCAAGU
rnacentral:lncRNA from 1 species